rnacentral:tRNA from 1 species
GCGAGAGUAAUUCAGUGGUAGAAUGCCAGCUUCCCAAGCUGGCUACGCGGGUUCGAUUCCCGUCUCUCGCUCCA